GCACAGUCUCCAAUCUCUCCCUGCUGAAGAACCUUUUCAAUCUACCAACAAAAAUAACAUUAGAACAACAUACAUAAAUUAUAUCCAUGUAACGUAAUCUAUGCAACUAUCAAAACUAGGUUUUGUCACAAUAUUUGUUGAUAUGGGAAUAAUAUGUCUGUGGCUUAUUUUCUAUUUAGAAAAUUAGUAUAAAAAGUACUAUGUAGUUUUAUAAAAAGAUCAUAAAAGCAUAUUGGAAAGAUGAUAGUAGAUAAACAGCAAAUGUUAAUAGUUAUCUUUUUAUGAUGGCAUUAUAUGCGGUUUAUUUUAUUCCUGUUGCUUAUGUGUAUUUUCUAUUUUUAAACAAUAAACUUGUACUAUACCUACAAUAAAAAUGCAAUAAAAAUUAUUUCAUAAAACAAAACCCAUAAGACAUAUGUAGGAAGUGAAAAGCUCAUUUUCUUUAUUAUUACUUACAGUGUAAAAAAGACUUAUGACCCCUGUAAAAGUCAGGUUGGGGACUCAAACCAUCCACAAAAUGAAUAAAUGAACAAAAUAAAUUAUCUGUAAUUGUCUCCCUUGUAUUUCCUAUUAGGGCUGCUUCUCCGGAUUUAACAGGCUUACACAGAAACCAAAAGCAGUGGGACAGUACAGCUUUUUACUUUGCUGACUGGCUGGCAAUAUGAAAAUGCUACUACUGUCAAAUGUCUUCUCCGUUUUUGCCUCAGGAUCUGCAAUGGCAGUGACAAAACUGACUUUGGGAGAGCGCAUAUUGAAGAUGGAGGAGCCACUGCCAGCUUGGGUUCCUGAAUGACUGAGGGGCUCAGACCACUGCUGACCCAGCACCCCAAUGCUGGGUUGCUGGGAAACAAAUCCAGAGGUUUCUUUAAGCCUGUGGUUCUCAAAAUGUGAUCCCCUUACCAGCAGCUUAGGCGUCACCUGGGAACCUGUUAGAAAUGCACAUCCUCAGGCCCCACCCAAACCUACUGAAUCAGAAACUCUGAGGGUGAGUUUAAUAUCUGUUUUAAUAAGCUCUCCAGGUGGUAGUGAUGCACAGUCAAGUUUAGGAACUACUGCCUCAAACUAGGGCAUUUGGGGGACUCUUGGUUUUAGUAGUUAUCAUACCCUAACUCAUA